rnacentral:piRNA from 1 species
ACCCUACAAAAGGGCAAGGAGCACAUU